GUACGUGCAACGCACGUCUCAAUCGACAUCAAAUAAUUGUUAAUAAAUAGUUGUCUAAUAUUUACAUAGUUUUUCAUCCGUACAUAUCUUUAUUACUGAUUUAUAAUGUUUUUCGGAUGGAAGCAAAACUAAAUUACGGAUAAAUAGAGAAUGUGCAAAUUAGUUCAAGAUCAAUAAAUUUAUGUAACUUAUGUUGCUAGUACGGACACCCUAGUAGUCACUUAUUUGCUACUAUUUUCUUAGCCAUAUCAUCCUGAUUCUACCCUUUGUCCCAUCAUAGAAAUUGACACAUCACCCAUGGCUGCAACAGUCUCAACGUGAUGAAGAGCCAAAUCAGUUUCCUCCUCCGUCUUACACAUGACCUUGCUUCCUGUCAUGUCACAAAAGAAGAAAACAGUCCCUUUCUCUGUAAGAUUGAACAGAGUCAAGCCAUAAAAGAAAAUGGACAAGCUGAUUUUUUCAUCAUGAAAUUUUGUGUUUUGAAAUAGUUACUAAAUAUGUAAUGUUUAGUCCAGCAGCCAAAUGGUUAUACCCCAGAGUUGUUUACAUCAUUGCUUCACUCAUGGUUCAGUGCCAUGAUGGCAUAAAAGAUAUCUUAGAAAAAGCCGGAUACAUAGUAAUGCCUAAUUAACAGAUGGUCAAAGCAAUUAUCAAAAAACAUGAAGAGCAGGUUAACCAUUGUUACAUCCCAAAUCUAUGAGAACAUCUGUAAAUAAUUAUCUGUAAUGGGGUGUUUAGAGUACACCUGCUUUGGUUGUACUGGGGUGUGGUCGAGAGUGGAUGUUCGCAUCCAUUUCGAGGCUUCUUGUACAUUGUAUUUUCUCUCUUCUAUAAAAGUAUGCCUUUGGCGUACUCUCAAAAAAAAAAGAAUAUCUGUAAAUUGUAGAAGAAAAUGGCGCAGCUAUGAAAAGAAAACAAAGCUUUAACCUUGGUGUAGUAAAAACUAAAAGGUAACUUAUCCCUACAGUCUAAUAACAGAACAACACAUGAGUAAACAACUUGCUGUUUUCUGUAAAGGGUGAAUUUCAUUGGCAGCAUGUCUGAACUAUCAUAAUAAAAUUAGUCAGGCCUCCUAAAUUUUGUUACUCAAGAAACUAUCUGCAGGUCCCUGAAAUUUUGCUAUGCAUUUUUGGAAGAGAAGAGCACCAUUUCAAAUUCACAAUACUGCGUGAUAGUUUGUUUCUCGAGCCUAAACAAAAGCAAAACUUCCUCUAGACACUUGCUUAAUGUAAGAGCGGAACAAACUUUCAUAAUUUCAAACUGAAGAUUUCAAAGUCAUACACAUGGCAGAUAAUUCAUACUUUAGGAGGAAAUUAGUUUGCCUCCAAAUCCAACAGCAAUCAACAAAAAUACACAUGGAAAAUGGCAUUUAAUAGUACACUGUAAACAGAACACUGAAUGGAUAAUGAUACUAAAAUGUGUUUACAAAGGUCAACAGAAUACAGAUCUUACCAACGAACAAAGAUGAAGUGAUGAACUGACCGGUUUCAGUGAAGUGGCUAAUGUCAUGACCUCGGUUUUCUGCUGAAGCAACUCAUUUUCUCUUUCAGAUAGCUGAACUGCUAAAAUACCCACCUAUGGAAAGUACCAAAAUAUUGAAGUGUUUACAAACAAAGAGAUCAUUUAGGCAUGUAUAUAUAUGUAGGUCGACUGGUGGAGACUUCUUUGAAUAAAAACUCAC
rnacentral:lncRNA from 1 species